rnacentral:rRNA from 1 species
UACGAAGGGUGCAAGCGUUAAUCGGAAUUACUGGGCGUAAAGCGUGCGUAGACGGCACACUAAGUCAGCUGUGAAACCCCCGGGCUCAACCUGGGACCUGCAGCUGAUACUGGUGAGCUUGGAGUGUGAGAGAGGGUGGUGGAAUUCCUGGUGUAGCGGUGAAAUGCGUAGAGAUCAGGAGGAACACUAGUGGCGAAGGCGGCCACCUGGCUUAAAACUGACGUUGAGGCACGAAAGCGUGGGGAGCAAACAGG